rnacentral:tRNA from 1 species
GCUCAGUCGGUUAAACUUCUGACUUCAGCUCAGGUCAUGAUCUCACAGUUUGUGGGUUCGAGCCCCACAUUGAGCU